rnacentral:rRNA from 1 species
UUCGAUGCAACGCGAAGAACCUUACCUGGUCUUGACAUCCCGGAGACCCUUAGGAAACUAGGGGGUGCUUCCAUCUGGAAGAAUCUGGAGACAGGUGCUGCAUGGCUGUCGUCAGCUCGUGUCGUGAGAUGUUGGGUUAGGUCCCGCAACGAGCGCAACCCUUGCCUUUAGUUGCCAGCAGUUCGGCUGGGCACUCUAAAGGGACUGCCGGUGUUAAACCGGAGGAAGGUGGGGAUGACGUCAAGUCCUCAUGGCCUUUAUGACCAGGGCUACACACGUACUACAAUGGCCGAUACAAAGGGCAGCGACACUGCGAGGUGAAGCCAAUCCCGUAAAAUCGGUCUCAGUCCGGAUUGGAGUCUGCAACUCGACUCCAUGAAGUUGGAAUCGCUAGUAAUCGUGGAUCAGCAUGCCACGGUGAAUACGUUCCCGGGCCUU